GGGCCCUGCAGCCAGCUCCGGUGUGGGCCUUCUGCCCUGUCAGCAAGAGGGGUCCCUUGGAUCUCACCACCCCGGAGGCCUCUCUGCCUCCUCCAGCUUUCCAUGUCACUGGGAGUCACUCACCAGGGAUGACAGAGGCUUCGAUGGUGACCAGGACUGAGGCCUCUAGGGGGCCGGAGGUGCCCACCACAUGGCACACAUACUCGCCUGAGUCGGCCGGGGUCACCUGGUGCAGCCGCAGCAGCGAGCCGUGGCCUCUAACCACAAGCUGGAGGCCCAUUGACCCACCCAUGACUUCUUGAUGAUGAGCUCCUCUGGCCCAUAGGGAACCAGCAAGCUUUACUACCCAGGCUGCGCCCAAGGAUGCGGAUGACAGUGAGACACCUCCCUUCUACAGGACGUCUUCCGUGUGCUCACAAGUACUUUCCAUAGACACUGUCUCAUUUAAACCACACCAUGACUGGCCAGGCGCGGUGGCUCAUGCCUAUAAUCCCAGCACUUUGGGAGGCUGAGACGGUCGGAUCACGAGGUCAGGAGAUCGAGACCAUCCUGGCUAACACGGUGAAACCCCGUCUCUACUAAAAAAAAUACAAAAAAUUAGCCGGCCUGGUGGCGGGUGUGCCUGUAGUCCUAGCUACUCAGAAGGCUGAGGCAGGAGAAUGGUGUGAACCCGGAAGGCGGAGCUUGCAGUGAGCCGAGAUCACGCGCCACUGCACUCCAGCCUGGGUGACAGAGCGAGACUCUCUCUCAAAAAAAUAAAAUAAAAUAAAAUAAAAUAAAAUAAAAUAAAAUAAAAUAAUAAAAAAACCACACCAUGACCAAGCAGGUGGGCAGUACUGCUCCAUUUCAUAGAUGAAUCUGAGGCCCCAAAAGUUAAAAGCUAGUUCAAGGUUGCUAAGGGGCAGAUCUGGGAUUUGAACCAGGUCAGCCGACUCCCAGCUUAGUAUUCAACCUGGACAUUCUGCUGCUUCCUGACAAAUUCUGAAACAGUCACUCAUAGGGAGCCCAGGUAAGCUGGACCAGCCUUAACCUCCCUCCCGUCCACUCAACCUCCUUCUCUCUCUGAGCAGGCGCUGAAGGGUCAAAGCCUGCCUGGAAUGCCCCCCUGUCCUGGUCCCACUGAAGAAGCCACAGGCAUCUUCCUUGGGAGCUCCUAGGGCUCAGCCCCGGCCCAGCCACACCUGGCUCCUCACCUGGGGUGUAGCUGGGGCCAGAAUGGGUGCCGUGGAGCACAGACACAGUAAUGGAGGCCUCCUUGGGGCCCGAUCCAUUCUCCACACGGCACACAUAUUCUCCAGAAUCAGCUGGUGAGACCUGGGGGAGCCGCAGACGGGAGCCGUGCACCUGGGCCAGGAGGAGCCAGAGAGAGUCCGUACCUGAAAGGACAACCACUUGGAUCCGGGCCUGGGCAGUGCCUGCAGGGCUGGUGGCCACGCAGAGGUAGAAGCCGGCGUCAGCAGUCGUGAUGGCUGGGAUGAGCAGUGUCGCGAUGUCUGUGCGCUCUGACCGGGCCUGCCGUGGGUGAGAUGGGUCAGCUGCCCCAGAGGCAGCUGGACAACGGCUGGCCAGGGGGACAGAUAGGGCAUAAAAGGGAGAGGCAGGUGCAGGGCCAAUAUUAGGGCCCAGUGGGGCAUGAAGGAGGACAAACGCCAGGCAGCCAAGAGGACGGCAGGGGCUCCCUGCUGGGAUGCAGGGGCAGGAGACCACCAUCUUGGAGGUGAAGGGAGCCACAGAGGAGGAGGUGGGGUGGGGCGUGAAGGGGGAGGGAAGGUGGCUGGGACUCUCUGCAGAGCCUGUGGGCCUCCUCCUCCUGGGUGGGCCCAUCUCCUCACCUGUGGUGGGAGGCUGCCCCCUUCCUUCCUCCAGGUGAUGGUGGCGCUAGGCACGCCUGCAGCCCUGCAGUACAGCCUGACGGUGCGGCCUGCGUGGACCUGGGUCCUCUCUGGGCUCACUUGGACUCUGGGCCCACCGCCCCCUGCAGACAGAGUCCUGUGAGAACACGCCCUGGGCUGAGCACACUCCCGGCCCCCACCCUGAGCCCGGCCUCUCACCAUGCACGUGGAGCACAGCCCUGGCCACCUGCUGCCCAGCGCUGCUGUGGGCUCGGCACAAGUACUGGGCCUGAUCCGUGGGCUCGACAGCUGGCAGGCGCAGGAUGCCGCCGUGGAUUUGUGCCUUCGCAGGGAGCUGGCCGCCGGGGCCCCCUGACGAGUAGACGUGGGGUCAGCACCCACCAAGCCUGCUCAGAGUCCUGCCCCUCCCCUCCCACACCCAGGAGAGUCAGGCCUUGAAUGUCAUUCCCAUCACGGCCUCACCUGUCCACUCGAGGGUGGGCGUGGGGCUCCCUGUGGCGCUGCAGCGGAACUCCGCCAGUUGCCCGGGCUGCACUGUGAGCUGUGGCGGAUGGAUGGAGACCACGGGGGCGGACAAGGCUAGCCCUCCACGGCCAUCUGUGCACACAGGAGCCAGAGGGAGCUUGGGAAAUGUCAACAGGACCUUGUGACCUCCCACCUUGAGACCUGUCCAUGACUCCCUGUUGCUUUUAGAAUAAAAUCCAAAAUUCCUACCCUGAUCCACCA
rnacentral:lncRNA from 10 species